rnacentral:lncRNA from 1 species
GGGAUUUGAACCAGGCCUUCUGAUUUCAAGGUCCGAGCUCUGUCCUCUGUCAGUCAUGCGUCCACUUUCCCUUCCCCUGUGACUCCUCCCUUCCCCACUCUGCUCCCAGCCCCUACCUUGAGACCCUCUUCUCUGGGCCCAGAGAGAGGCGUCCUGGUGAGGACAAGGUACAGGCAAGGAUGAUCCAGGGAUUGGGCCUGGGACUCAGGCCUCCUAAGUGUUUGGUUCCUCCCUCCAAACACUCAUUAGUUCACUCAUUCAUUCAUUCCACAAACAUUUACUGAGGGCCCCGGAAUCAGUGGACUCCGAGGGGACUGAGACAAGCCCUGCCCUGGGGUGGGGGUGGGGGGCAAGGUACAGUUGAUUCUACAUUUGGAUAGGGAGUGGGGGAGGGUGGGAAGGUAGGGGCGGGAGAGUGAGGGGGUUUGUAAUUUAUUAAUUUUCAGGCCCCUCAUUUGAGAGCCAUUAUCCUCAACUCCAUCUAAACUGAAUCUUGGGGAGAACCCAGAUCUGACCAAUUGGGGUAGGAGACAGCAGGCUCUCCAAGAACAUGGGCAAAUUUAUUUUUUUAUAAAACAAAAAGAUAAAAAGAGUUGAAAGACGUGAAAGUGGUGAGAGAUGGAGGAAACAGAAUCAGGAAGUGGUAGAAAAGAGAGGAGGUGGCUGGGCGCAGUGGCUCACGUUUGUAAUCCCAGCACUUUGGGAGGCCAAGUUGGGCGGAUCAUUUGAGGUCAGGAGUUUGAGACCAGCCUGGCCAACAUGGUGAAACCCCGUUACUACUAAAAAUACAAAAAUUAGCUGGGUGUCUCGUGGCAGGCACCUGUAAUCCCAGCUACUUAGAAGGCUGAGGCAAGAGAAUCACCUGAACCCAGGAGGUGGAGGUUGCAGUGAGCCAAGAUUGCACCACUGCACUCCAGCCUGGGCAACAGAGCGAGACCCUGUCUCAAAAAAAAAAAAAAAAAAAAAAAAAAAACGGAAGGAAACAUCAGCCUUGGGGGCCACAGACUCAACAUGUGUGUGUGGUGGGGUUCCAGCCCAACAUAGAGUAACAUUAUUUGUACCUCCCAGGCUAGCUCAGUCCAUGGGAGGCUCUCCUGUCCCUGAAAGCUGACACCCACCUUUCACCACUUCGCCCAUGCUACAGUUCAGUUUCCUCGUCUGUAAAAUGGGGAUGAUAAUGGUACCUACCUUGCAGUGUUGUUAUAAGGAUUAAAGGAGACAGUGCAAGAAAAGGCCUUGGUUGGUGAAGAGCCCAACCUCGGAGGGGAGCUGCUGGGAUCCUCCUUAUCUUGACUGGGAUGUCCCUGUCUCCCCCUCCCCUUGCUCCUUGAACAUGGCCAAGGAAAGUGAAAAACAAAAAUUAUUCACUCUGCUAGCACCCUUCCCCUUGAUGCCUGGGAAUAGGUUUUGCCAAUAAACGUAUCUGUGUUGGA